rnacentral:rRNA from 1 species
UGGGGAAUUUUGGACAAUGGACGCAAGUCUGAUCCAGCCAUUCCGCGUGCAGGACGAAGGCCUUCGGGUUGUAAACUGCUUUUGUACGGAACGAAAAAGCUCUUAUUAAUACUAGGAGUCCAUGACGGUACCGUAAGAAUAAGCACCGGCUAACUACGUGCCAGCAGCCGCGGUAAUACGUAGGGUGCAAGCGUUAAUCGGAAUUACUGGGCGUAAAGCGUGCGCAGGCGGUUAUAUAAGACAGAUGUGAAAUCCCCGAGCUUAACUUGGGAACUGCAUUUGUGACUGUAUAGCUAGAGUACGGCAGAGGGGGAUGGAAUUCCGCGUGUAGCAGUGAAAUGCGUAGAUAUGCGGAGGAACACCGAUGGCGAAGGCAAUCCCCUGGGCCUGUACUGACGCUCAUGCACGAAAGCGUGGGGAGCAAACAGGAUUAGAUACCCUGGUAGUCCACGCCCUAAACGAUGUCAACUGGUUGUUGGGUCUUCACUGACUCAGUAACGAAGCUAACGCGUGAAGUUGACCGCCUGGGGAGUACGGCCGCAAGGUUG